UGACAAAAACACGGCCCAUGUAAAACUGUUGAGGGGAUAUUGAUAUCUAAUAUAGUGUUGCCAUGGCAACAUAUCAAACUGGAAUAUUUUUCUGUAUAAUAUAUUCUGAUUUUGAGGCAGAUAACAUGCUUAGAAUUUCAUGAAACUCAGAACACAUAUCAGUAUUACUGAUAGCUAGACACUGGCAAAAGGUCAUAAAAGGGCGUGGAGGAGGCACUCUAUAGCGCCACCUUUUGUCAAAAGUGGGGGGCUUAGUUUUAGCUACAGACACCAAACUCGGUACAUAUAUUGUUCUUAUUAAGACGGACAACUUUCUAAUUUACAGUCAUUAGCUACGACCAACAGGAAGUCGGCUAUUUUGAUUUGAAUAUGGAUUUUUGGCUCUGUGUGAGGAAUGUAUGUGUGCUGAGACUUUCAUUGUCUGAGAGAAAAUGCGCCUCUACAGGAGCAAUUCCCGGGACUGAGAGGGAGGAGUCUCGCUUAGUUUCACUUUUAAAUCGGUUAAAAAUACAACUAAAUAAAUCAAUUUAAUUCACACUGACAAGCUAAACCAACAUAUCUUAUUAUUAGCGGGUCAGGGCUUAUUAAUAAUUGAUGUCUGGCGACAGAGAACAGAGAGAUAGACGAGAGAUAUGUCACCGUUCCGAACAGCGCGUGCUGUCUCAACGAGCUCACAACAAACGAGUUUAUUCUUGUUUAAGACCUUUUAAAAAUAAAAUAUUACGGCGAUUGCACACAAUCCGCCAAUUAGAACACACCAAGAGCUAAAUUCAGAUGUUUGUGAGCUGUUAACAUGUUAAAAUGAAAUAUUUGCUGCAGCCUGUCUGACAGCGCGAGACGUCUGAACACUUGAAGGGAAAAAAAUGUACAUACAGAAACUACAGCCUUUUACAUUAAAACACAGCGGCGAAUCAACAAAAAACAAUUAGAAGAACAUAUUAUAGAGAUGAAAA
ensembl:lncRNA